GUGGAUGUAGCUCAGUUGGUUAGAGCGCUACUCUGUGGCAGUAGAGGCCGGGGGUUCAACUCCCCUCAUCCACC
rnacentral:tRNA from 1 species